GAAUUGCACAAGGGCGAAGCCUGAUGCAGCGACGCCGCGUGGGGGAUGACGGCCUUCGGGUUGUAAACCUCUUUCACCAUCGACGAAGGUUCGGGUUUUCUCGGAUUGACGGUAGGUGGAGAAGAAGCACCGGCCAACUACGUGCCAGCAGCCGCGGUAAUACGUAGGGUGCGAGCGUUGUCCGGAAUUACUGGGCGUAAAGAGCUCGUAGGUGGUUUGUCGCGUUGUUCGUGAAAUCUCACGGCUUAACUGUGAGCGUGCGGGCGAUACGGGCAGACUUGAGUACUGCAGGGGAGACUGGAAUUCCUGGUGUAGCGGUGGGAUGCGCAGAUAUCAGGAGGAACACCGGUGGCGAAGGCGGGUCUCUGGGCAGUAACUGACGCUGAGGAGCGAAAGCGUGGGGAGCGAACAGGAUUAGAUACCCUGGUAGUCCACGCCGUAAACGGUGGGUACUAGGUGUGGGUUUCCUUCCUUGGGAUCCGUGCCGUACUAACGCAUUAAGUACCCCGCCUGGGGAGUACGGCCGCAAGGCUAAAACUCAAAGAAAUUGACGGGGGCCCGCACAAGCGGCGGAACAUGUGGAUUAAUUCGAUGCAACGC
rnacentral:rRNA from 1 species